UGUGUAGGCGGUUCUCUAAGUUCGGUGUGAAAUCUCCCGGCUCAACUGGGAGGGUGCGCCGGAAACUGGAGGGCUUGAGUAUGGGAGAGGAAAGCGGAAUUCCUGGUGUAGCGGUGAAAUGCGUAGAUAUCAGGAGGAACACCUGCGGUGUAGACAGCUUUCUGGACCAUCACUGACGCUGAGACACGAAAGCGUGGGUAGCAAACA
rnacentral:rRNA from 1 species